rnacentral:rRNA from 1 species
GGACUACAAGGGUUUCUAAUCCUGUUUGCUCCCCUAGCUUUCGUGCCUUAGUGUCAGGAAUUGUCCAGAGACUCGCCUUCGCCACUGGUGUUCCUCUCGAUAUCUACGCAUUUCACUGCUACACCGAGAAUUCCAGUCUCCCCUCCAAUCCUCAAGCGGGAGAGUAUUCAAUGCCAUUUCCGAGUUGAGCUCGGAGAUUUCACAUCAAACUUACCCCGCCACCUACGCACCCUUUACGCCCAGUGAAUCCGAACAACGCUUGGGACCUCUGUAUUACCGCGGCUGCUGGCAC